rnacentral:rRNA from 1 species
GGGUUGUGAGGUUAAGCGACUAAGCGUACACGGUGGAUGCCCUGGCAGUCAGAGGCGAUGAAGGACGUGCUAAUCUGCGAUAAGCGCCGGUAAGGUGAUAUGAACCGUUAUAACCGGCGAUUUCCGAAUGGGGAAACCCAGUGUGAUUCGUCACACUAUCAUUAACUGAAUCCAUAGGUUAAUGAGGCGAACCGGGGGAACUGAAACAUCUAAGUACCCCGAGGAAAAGAAAUCAACCGAGAUUCCCCCAGUAGCGGCGAGCGAACGGGGAGGAGCCCAGAGCCUGAAUCAGCAUGUGUGUUAGUGGAAGCGUCUGGAAAGGUGCGCGAUACAGGGUGACAGCCCCGUACACAAAAGCGCAUGUGCUGUGAGCUCGAUGAGUAGGGCGGGACACGUGGUAUCCUGUCUGAAUAUGGGGGGACCAUCCUCCAAGGCUAAAUACUCCUGACUGACCGAUAGUGAACCAGUACCGUGAGGGAAAGGCGAAAAGAACCCCGGCGAGGGGAGUGAAAAAGAACCUGAAACCGUGUACGUACAAGCAGUGGGAGCACAGGUUUACCUGUGUGACUGCGUACCUUUUGUAUAAUGGGUCAGCGACUUAUAUUCUGUAGCAAGGUUAACCGUAUAGGGGAGCCGUAGGGAAACCGAGUCUUAACCGGGCGUUAAGUU